AAACAGAGACUGUUUGACUUCCUCGCUUCCUAUUUGGAUGCCCUUUAUUUCUUUCUCUUCUUAAUUGCCCUUGCCAGGUCUUCCAGCACUAUGAUGAAUAGGUGUGGUGAGCGGGGGCAUCCUUGUCUUGUGCCAGUUUUGAAGGAGAAUGCUUCCAGCUUUUGCCCAUUCAGUAUGAUGCCAGUUGUGGAUUUGUCUUAUACGGUUCUUACUAUUUUGAGGCAGUGUUGGUCUGCAAGCUUCAAGAGCCAGUGACCCUGACUGCCAAGUGAUUUGCCGAAGGGAAUUAUGGUUUUGCAUUUGAUGGUUUCCAGGAACUGCUAAGAGUGAGAUCAUCCCUGAAGCAGUGACUGCCAGAGGAAGGCGAGAGACAUAUGGUGGCCUUACAGGAGAAGAACAUGUCUCAGAGAGCUCCUACUCCUCCAGUUUUGGCCCCAGAAUGAAACACAGGAAGAAGACCUGAAUUUGAUUUGCAUUUCAAAGUAGAACUGUCCCAGCUGACAUGAAGACUGAUGAAUAAGGAAUAAGUAUUUAUUGUUGUAUGUCACUGAUAUUUCUGUGGUCGAUUAUGUGUAGAAGAGCUGACUUGUACACUUACAUAAACUUGAAGAAGACUGAAUUUAGAAAUGGAGUUUCUGCAUAUGGUUAUGUCUGAGUAGCUCCAAGUGGAUCAUCCCUCCCACAGAUAACAACUCUAAACUCUGGACAAAAUAUAAAAAUAACAAUUUCCUGAAUAUCAAAGAGCAACCCAAAUCAUGCAGAUACUGGGUAUUAAGGCUGAAUUUGUCUACACAUCAAACAUGUACCUAGGAGGAAUAUUUGCUCUGUGCCAUCAGCAGUGUAGAAACUAGAAUAACCAGCUGCCGUAUUGUGAGCUGCAUUAUGAAGAGAACCAUGUGGCAAGACACUGAGGGAGAUCUCCAGCCAACAACAACUCAUAAGCAACUAAAUCUUGUGAUGAACCACUGGAGUCAUCUGGAAAGAGGAUCCUCUCACCUUCAAUCUUUGAAAUGGCUAGAGCUCUGAUGACAGUUGGAUUACAGCCUUAGGAGAAACAGAGAGCCGGGGAAAUUUGUGCCCAGGUUCCUUUCCCACAGACAUUGUCAGAUAAUAAAUAUCUCUGCGUUUUUAA